AGGCAGCUCAGUUGGUAGAGCAGCGGACUGAAAAUCUGCAUGUCAGCAGUUCAAUUCUGUCUCUC
rnacentral:tRNA from 1 species